AUGCCUAUGAACUAUUCACUCGUUAUUGAACCAUUUGAUGUUUGGGGCUUUGACUAUAUGGGACCUUUUCCAUACUCUAAUGGAUAUACACAUAUUUUAGUUGUUGUUGAUUACGUUACUAAGUGGGUAGAAGUUAUUCCAACUAGUAGUGUUGAUCAUAACACUUAUAUUAAAAUGCUUAAAGAAGUUAUUUUUCCAAGGUUUGGAGUCCCUAGAUAUUUAAUGACUGAUGGUGGUUCACAUUUUAUUCAUGGUGCUUUCCAUAAAAUGCUUGCUAAAUAUGAUGUUAAUCAUAGAAUUGCAUCUCCUUAUCACCUACAGUCUAGUGGUCAAGUAGAAUUGAGUAAUAGAGAGCUCAAAUUAAUUUUGCAAAAGACUGUUAAUAGAUCUAGAAAAAAUUGGUCCAAGAAACUUGAUGAUGAAUUAUGGGCCUAUAGAACUGCAUAUAAAAAUCCUAUGGGUAUGUCUACGUAUAAAACGGUUUAUGGAAAAGCAUGUCACUUACCUCUCAAACUAGAACACAAGGCAUAUUGGGCUAUUAAAGAGCUCAGUUAUGAUUUCAAACUUGCCGGUGAGAAGAGGUUAUUUGAUAUUAGCUCACUUGAUGAAUGGAGAACCCAAGCCUAUGAAAAUGCCAAGUUGUUUAAAGAAAAGGUUAAAAGAUGGCAUGAUAAAAGGAUACAAAAGCAUGAGUUUAAUGUAGGUGAUUAUGUAUUGCUAUAA
rnacentral:rRNA from 1 species